UCCUAAUCCACAACCGCUUCUCUCUGGCCGUACCCCACGACCCACUCCUCUCCCCCCUGCGCAUCUUCCCCCAUGCCACAGCCACCUCCCGCGAUGCCCCCUGCCCCGGACCGGCGGCGACGAGGCCCCACCUUCCUACCAACCCUGGCCAACUCCCUUCCUUGCCUCCGACCAACACCGGACGUCCACCUCCCCUGGCACGCCGAUCCGCCCCGCCUCCACCCUCAACGGUGUAGCACCGCCAUGGGCUGGAUCCGGCAAGAUCCACUGUGCCACCCCUCGACCAGCCCGGCCCUCGCGUCGGCGGCUCCACCGAGCCAAAUCCCGAGCCCCUCCUUCGCCAGUAUUCUUCACCGCCGACGCACAUCGACCGGCAGCGAAUCAUCCUGCCCAGACUGGUGCCAACGCGGCCCCGUGCCCAGCUUCUCCCUAUUGGCGUCGUCUUGGGCCUCGCCGCCUCGGUCUCUCGCCGGUUCAGUGCAUCUCGGGGCCGGCCCCUGACGAUUCCGACCGGCGACGGGGUCCCCUACUCGCGUGCCCCUUGGGACCCCCUGCAAUCCUGAUCUCCCUGGCCACGCAAUCCUCACGUAGCCUUCGUAGGGCUGUGGAUUGGAUUGACGACGUGGAUACAACCUUCUGAGUCAGAUGCUGGAGGACGUGGUGGACUGUCGAUCUGCUCCACAGCCCGGCAGGUGGCAGUGCAGACGAGCGUCGCCGGCUCAAGAGGAUUUGAUGAUGUCCAGGGCAUGGAUGAGGCCAAGCAGGAGCUUCUUGAGGUGAAUAUGGUGCACUAAUAAUCAAUACUAGUUGCUCAUGCUAGAAGAGAAAAAGGGGAAAACAUUGGAAAAAGAGUUGCAAUUAGGAUGAACAAGAGUUUUGUAAAAGAGGAGCUGAGAGGGCACAUCAAGAUGGAAGCUCACUUUUCAGGUCCAUGGCCAGCAAAGCGUGGGACAACAGUUGUGGCAAUGGAGAACAUGGUAGAUGGAGAAGGGGAGGUCAAGGGGGGAGGUUUGGGGAGCUGUGACUGGGAAGGUGGAAGCGGCGCGAGGUGCUACUAAGAUCAUGCCAUGAUCGCUAAUGGUUAUGAGCGCUAAUAACCAUUAGGAGGGUUUGGUGCGUCAGCUGUCAUGAUUGCUUAUGUCGUUAGGGGGAGUAGCAGUUACGAUCACGACAGAUUCUCCCUUGGAGGCCAUGUGCGUGAGGGACUGUUUCUUUCCUUUUUAGUUUGCCAGUUGGAUCUGGGAGAGGUCCACUACCAAUUUAAGGGUGUGUGCCCUGGGCCGCUAGCCAGCCAACGGUUGCUGGCUAGUCGCGUCCCAAAAAUAAACACAGAAACACCCAGAGAAAUUUGGUAAACAAGCCAUAACCAGUCCCGAGCACUUGGGCGUCAAUAACUGUAGCAAAUUAAGAGCAGAAAUCAGCAUCAACAGGAACCCUAUUAGAGCACAAAUAUUGGGUACGAAGGGACUGUAGUGGCGAAGGGAAAUAUGCAGCAAAGUUGAAGAUGAAGGGACGAACUACUGGAGAAGCACAGCUCCUGGAUGUUACUGCAUCACUGCCGGAUGAAGAAGGGGGAGAACCUGGGUAUUGACACUGCAUAUGUAGGUAACUCGCCAACAUCACAUUCUGCGCAAUCCCAUAGCUCUGCAAAUAUAUCAAAAACAACACACAUAAACAGGGGAGGCAUUCACUCACACCUUUCAAACCUGGGGGAGCAUGGCAAACUUUGAAGAAUACACGAACGAUGCGAGGCGAUGGGUGAGCGCCAGGUCAGGGUAGGCGGGGCGGCCCCACCUAUCCGUAGCUUCAUGGAGCCGUGGAUUAAGCAGACAAACAUGGACUUUGUUCGUUUAUUAGUACAGGCAGAAGAUCGUCUCCCUCUACGACAGAAUGGUUACGUUUUUCGCCCAUUGUAAUACUACUUUUCUAAUUCACCUGUUCCACAAGGAGCAUGAUAUGAAUACCAGAAGAACAUAUUAUUUAAGCGAUUUGUGGCGUAGUAGUAAAAUUGAUAGCAGAAGAUGAAAGGAUAAUGUAUGGAGUAAUUACCUGUCCAAAAUCCAUUUGAGAGAUGAUGAAUGGAUGAUCACAAGAGUGGGCAGUAGGAAAGCUGCAGAAUUUGUCCAAAUCAAUUGUGCACACGUAGCAUGAACAUCACCUGCACAUACAUUUUUUUGGCAGAGUGUAUGAGUAUCUUUUCUGUGAGACGAUAUGAGGACAUGGCAAUUGUUUGAUGCAA